AGAGUUUGAUCAUGGCUCAGAUUGAACGCUGGCGGCAGGCCUAACACAUGCAAGUCGAACGGUAACAGGAAGCAGCUUGCUGCUUUGCUGACGAGUGGCGGACGGGUGAGUAAUGUCUGGGAAACUGCCUGAUGGAGGGGGAUAACUACUGGAAACGGUAGCUAAUACCGCAUAAUGUCGCAAGACCAAAGAGGGGGACCUUCGGGCCUCUUGCCAUCGGAUGUGCCCAGAUGGGAUUAGCUAGUAGGUGGGGUAAAGGCUCACCUAGGCGACGAUCCCUAGCUGGUCUGAGAGGAUGACCAGCCACACUGGAACUGAGACACGGUCCAGACUCCUACGGGAGGCAGCAGUGGGGAAUAUUGCACAAUGGGCGCAAGCCUGAUGCAGCCAUGCCGCGUGUAUGAAGAAGGCCUUCGGGUUGUAAAGUACUUUCAGCGGGGAGGAAGGGAGUAAAGUUAAUACCUUUGCUCAUUGACGUUACCCGCAGAAGAAGCACCGGCUAACUCCGUGCCAGCAGCCGCGGUAAUACGGAGGGUGCAAGCGUUAAUCGGAAUUACUGGGCGUAAAGCGCACGCAGGCGGUUUGUUAAGUCAGAUGUGAAAUCCCCGGGCUCAACCUGGGAACUGCAUCUGAUACUGGCAAGCUUGAGUCUCGUAGAGGGGGGUAGAAUUCCAGGUGUAGCGGUGAAAUGCGUAGAGAUCUGGAGGAAUACCGGUGGCGAAGGCGGCCCCCUUGACGAAGACUGACGCUCAGGUGCGAAAGCGUGGGGAGCAAACAGGAUUAGAUACCCUGGUAGUCCACGCCGUAAACGAUGUCGACUUGGAGGUUGUGCCCUUGAGGCGUGGCUUCCGGAGCUAACGCGUUAAGUCGACCGCCUGGGGAGUACGGCCGCAAGGUUAAAACUCAAAUGAAUUGACGGGGGCCCGCACAAGCGGUGGAGCAUGUGGUUUAAUUCGAUGCAACGCGAAGAACCUUACCUGGUCUUGACAUCCACGGAAGUUUUCAGAGAUGAGAAUGUGCCUUCGGGAACCGUGAGACAGGUGCUGCAUGGCUGUCGUCAGCUCGUGUUGUGAAAUGUUGGGUUAAGUCCCGCAACGAGCGCAACCCUUAUCCUUUGUUGCCAGCGGUCCGGCCGGGAACUCAAAGGAGACUGCCAGUGAUAAACUGGAGGAAGGUGGGGAUGACGUCAAGUCAUCAUGGCCCUUACGACCAGGGCUACACACGUGCUACAAUGGCGCAUACAAAGAGAAGCGAUCUCGCGAGAGCAAGCGGACCUCAUAAAGUGCGUCGUAGUCCGGAUUGGAGUCUGCAACUCGACUCCAUGAAGUCGGAAUCGCUAGUAAUCGUGGAUCAGAAUGCCACGGUGAAUACGUUCCCGGGCCUUGUACACACCGCCCGUCACACCAUGGGAGUGGGUUGCAAAAGAAGUAGGUAGCUUAACCUUCGGGAGGGCGCUUACCACUUUGUGAUUCAUGACUGGGGUGAAGUCGUAACAAGGUAACCGUAGGGGAACCUGCGGUUGGAUCACCU
rnacentral:rRNA from 1 species